CCAGUUGGCUAUCAGGACUCUCAGGAUCCAUGUCAAAGUAAUACAAACUUAACAGCUCUGCACUUGCAGUAUCCAUUUUUGUAUUUUGGACACAAAUACAAUAACAUAUAUGUCAACAAUAAUGGAUAUUUGACGUUUGAACCAUUUUAUGAAAGCCUCCCCAAGGCUUUUCCUGCCAACUCUACUAGAGACAUUAUAGCUCCACUCUGGGCAAAGUUUGGAAGCAUCUCCUAUUGCAUUGUAACUCAAGGACAUAUUUUGGACCGGGCGAGAAAUGAUAUCAAACAGUAUUUCCCUCAGUUUGGGUUCUCAGUAUAUACUGUCUUCAUUGCUACAUGGAAUAGCCCCAAUAUGGAAUCCUCCUUUCAAGUUGUUCUAGUCAUUUGCAGCACUCUUUCCUUUGUCAUAAUGAACUAUGGAAAUAUCUCCUCAACUGAUCAGAGGUUUCAGGUUGGACAGAAUAAAAAUCUUCCUAAACGACAUUAAGGACCCUGAAUGUUUUUUUUAGUAGAAUUAGAAAAUAAAACAUUUCAAAGACCACCAUAUUGGUCAUAUUUCAUUUAUUAAUUACAUUUUUUAUUUACUUAUAGGCUGGCUAUGACACAAUAAACUCAACAGAUUAUUUUUCAAUCCCUGUGCCUGAUGAAAGUAAGCUGUUCAACUCCAGUAAUGUCAAUGUCCCGGGACGCUGGGUGUUUCGUGUUGAUGGUGGACCUGAGGAGGGAGUAUUCUACCCAUAUGGAGAUGAAGAGGAUGAGAUGUGUCCUCGGUCAGAUGAUGGAAGUUCUCCACCGAUUCCUCUUCUGCAGCCGUUUGUAUACUUUGGCCGAGUAUAUGACAAAAUAUUUGUGAAUAAUAAUGGAGACCUGACUUUUAAUGGGCCAUUUUAUCAGUGGUAUCCCUACUAUUUUCCUGAUUACUCAUCUACAGACAUCAUCGCUCCACUAUGGACAGACAUUAAUAAUAGUGAACAAGGAAC